UGGGGAAUAUUGCACAAUGGGGGAAACCCUGAUGCAGCAACGCCGCGUGAGUGAUGACGGCCGUCGGGUUGUAAAGCUCUGUCUUCAGGGCCGAUAAUGACGGUACCUGAGGAGGAAGCCACGGCUAACUACGUGCCAGCAGCCGCGGUAAUACGUAGGUGGCAAGCGUUGUCCGGAUUUACUGGGCGUAAAGGGAGCGUAGGCGGACUUUUAAGUGAGAUGUGAAAUACCCGGGCUCAACCUGGGUGCUGCAUUUCAAACUGGAAGUCUAGAGUGCAGGAGAGGAGAGUGGAAUUCCUAGUGUAGCGGUGAAAUGCGUAGUGAUUAGGAAGAACACCAGUGGCGAAGGCGACUCUCUGGACUGUAACUGACGCUGAGGCUCGA
rnacentral:rRNA from 1 species